rnacentral:rRNA from 1 species
AACGAACGCUGGCGGCGGGCCUAAUACAUGCAAGUCGAACGAGAAAGCUCUUCGGAGUGAGUAGAGUGGCGCACGGGUGAGUAACACGUAGGUGACCUAGCUUUUAGUGGGGAACAACAGGGAGAAAUUCCUGCUAAUACCGCAUAAGUUGAUUAAUUUUGGAAAUCAAUCAAGAAAGGGGGCUUCGGCCCUCGCUGAAAGAUGGGCCUGCGGGACAUUGGCUUGAUGGUGGGGUAACGGCCUACCAUGGCGACGAUGUCUAGCUGGUCUGAGAGGAUGAUCAGCCACACUGGAACUGAGACACGGUCCAG